ACGCUCGACACCUACGGGAGGCAGCAGUGGGGAAUAUUGCACAAUGGGGGAAACCCUGAUGCAGCGACGCCGCGUGGAGGAAGAAGGUCUUCGGAUUGUAAACUCCUGUUGUUGGGGAAAAAGAGGAUGGUACCCAACAAGGAAGUGACGGCUAACUACGUACCAGCAGCCGCGGUAAUCUGAGCGGGCUGGCAAGGC
rnacentral:rRNA from 1 species